UUACGACCAUAUCACGCUGAAACACCGGUUCCCAUACUAGCACUGCAGUUAAGCAACGUCGAAUCUUCUCAGUAGCAAGAUGGGUGUCCGCUUGGGAAUACCAGGUGUUGUAA